GAUGAACGCUAGCGACAGGCUUAACACAUGCAAGUCGAGGGGCAGCGAGAAAGUGCUUGCACUUUUGUCGGCGACCGGCGCACGGGUGAGUAACACGUAUGCAACCUGCCCUUGUCAGGGAGAUUAAUACCGGAUGGUGUUCAAAUGUCGCAUGUUAUUUGAACUAAAGAUUUAUCGGUAACGGAUGGGGAUGCGUGACAUUAGAUAGUAGGCGGGGUAACGGCCCACCUAGUCUACGAUGUCUAGGGGUUCUGAGAGGAAGAUCCCCCACACUGGAACUGAGACACGGUCCAGACUCCUACGGGAGGCAGCAGUGAGGAAUAUUGGUCAAUGGUCUGACGACUGAACCAGCCAUGCCGCGUGAAGGUCACGGCCCUAUGGGUCUUAAACUUCUUUUGUAAGGGAGCAAUAAGUCUCACGUGUGGGAUGAUGAGAGUACCUUACGAAUAAGCAUCGGCUAACUCCGUG
rnacentral:rRNA from 1 species